rnacentral:lncRNA from 1 species
AGUUCAAAUUGCUUUACCCAACAUGAUACAUCUAGAAAAACAUGAACACGGGAUUCAAAUAUCUAACCCCACACUCUUUUAUUUAUUUGCCUAAAAAUCAAUUGAAUCAUUUUAUAUUUUGUGAUGAUGUUGACUGCAUUUUUAAAAGUUUUUUGUUUUUUGUUUUUGUUUUUGUUUUUUUUUUCUGUCUUUUUGCCUUUUCUAGGGCCACUCCCGCAGCAUAUGGAGAUUCCCAGGCUAGGUGUCUAAUCGGAGCCAUAGCCACCAGCCUAUGCCAGAGCCACAGCAACUCGGGAUCCGAGCCACGUCUGCAACCUACACCACAGCUCACGGCAACACCGGAUCCUCAACCCACUGAGCAAGGCCAGGGAUCGAACUCGCAACCUCAUGGUUCCUAGUCGGAUUCAUAACCACUGUACCACGAUGGGAACCCCCUAAAAGUUUUUACUAUAGUUGAUUUACAAUGUUCUGUCAAUUUCUGCUGCACAGCAAAGUGACAUAGUUUUAUACACACACACACACACACACAUUCUUUUUCUCAUAUUAUCUUCUAUCAUGUUCUAUCACAAUUGAUUAGAUAUAGUUCCCUGUGCUAUACAGCAGGACCUCAUUGCUUAUCCAUUCUAAAUGUAAUAGUUUGCAUCUACCAACCCCAAAUCCCCAGUCCAAUCCACUCCCUCACGCUCCCUCUUGGCAACCACAAGUCUAUUCUCCAUGUCUGGCCUGUGAGUAUGUUUCUGCUUUGUAGAUAGUUUCAUCUGUACCAUAUUUUAGGUUCCACAUAUAAGUAAUAUCAUAUGGUUUUUGUCUUUCUCUUUCUGACUCAUUUCACUUAGUAGGAGAAUCUCUAGUUCCAUCCACGUUGUGGCAAAUGGCAUUAUUUGUUCUUUUUUAAUGGCUGAGUAGUAUCCCAUUGUGUAUAUAUACCACAUCUUAAUCUAUUCAUCUGUUGAUGAAUAUUUAGGUUGUUUCCAUGUCUUGACUAUUGUGAAUAGUGCUGCAAUGAAUAUAGGGGUACAUGUAUCUUUUUGAAUGAAAGUUUUGUCCAGAUAUAUGCCCAGGAGGGGGAUUGCUGGAUUAACCCCACCCUCUUGUAACUACAUCUAUCAUCCUUUGGAUGUCUUUGUUGCUUCCUACCUUUCUUUUUCUCAUAGAGAAUAUUUUCUUCACUCUAACUACAUACAGCCACUAAAGUGACCACUAGCACAUGAAGCUUCUCCAAAACCUGUGAUUUGUGUGCCAUCAACCACCCCUUUGUACAGUUGGAAUAACUAGAUCUUAGAAAACUUAACUAGUCUCAAAUUAGUAAAGUGACAAAGCUGGGACUAGAAAUUAGGCCUUUCUAAUACCAAAGCUCCAACUCUUAAUCAUUAAGCCAUUUGGCUGCAUAAUCCUAAGAGUAAAACAGUUAUGAAUGGAUGGAUGCCUGCUGUUGAGUGUCUGCCAAAAUCUACAUGCCAUAUAAUCCAGAGUAAUACUAAGCCCCAGAUUCAACAGAUCUUUACCCUUCCUCUACCCCCCACCCAGGAUUUUACCCAGUAAACACAGAGUAUCGAAUACCUUCAUACUUGGUGGAAGCAAGGCAGCUCAACAGUUCAGCCUCAGUCUACUUCAGGAGAAAGCAUUUUUUUCAAUGACAAAAUAAGACAAACAUUUCAAGGAAUUGGCUCUCAUUUCCUUGCAUUAUUGCUCUCAUUUGCUCAUUAUAAACAAUUAUUAAAUGUGCUUUUAUUAUGAUGAAGUGGUCUUUGCUUAUAAAAAGGGCUAGCCAGGUCUGCCCUUGCUUGCAUUUGUCUGUAUACAUACACAUAUGGGGAAGAGGAGAAAAAAACUGAUCUUUAAAAUGAAACUAUUGUUAAUGUACAAACAACCAUUAUCCCUGAAGCACAUGGAAUCACCUAAUACGAAAAAAAACAAAAAUAUUGCACAAAUACAGGUUGGAGUGCACCUGUUUCUGAUGAAUAUCAACUUUUUUUUUUUUUUUUAAAAGAGGAGAAUCUAGGGGUCCUAGUGGAAAACAAAAAUGCUACCCUUUAUAAGCAAAAUGUAAUCCAGGCAUGUUGACUAGGAAUGGGGCAUAGUGAUCCAUCUCAGAAUUCUGUAUGAGACUAUGCCUUCCAACGUCACCUUUUAAAGAGAAAGAAAGAACAUAAAAGGACCCUGAGGGAUGCCUUGACAAUGAUUCAAAUAAAACAGGAUCUAGAAACUAUGGUUUGAGAAAUGAGCAUGCCUAUUAUCUGGCCAGCUCGUGUGCAUCACCUUUGCUCCUUACUGCUAUAUAGACUAUUCCUUAGGGACUGGACAACCAUUCAAAUUCACAU